rnacentral:rRNA from 1 species
AGAGUUUGAUCCUGGCUCAGGACGAACGCUGGCGGCGCGCCUAACACAUGCAAGUCGAACGAGCGAGAGAGAGCUUGCUUUCUCGAGCGAGUGGCGAACGGGUGAGUAACGCGUGAGGAACCUGCCUCAAAGAGGUGGGACAACAGUUGGAAACGACUGCUAAUACCGCAUAAGCCCACAGCUCGGCAUCGAGCAGAGGGAAAAGGAGCAAUCCGCUUUGAGAUGGCCUCGCGUCCGAUUAGCUAGUUGGUGAGGUAAUGGCCCAUCAAGGCAACGAUCGGUAGCCGGACUGAGAGGUUGAACGGCCACAUUGGGACUGAGACACGGCCCAGACUCCUACGGGAGGCAGCAGUGGGGAAUAUUGCACAAUGGGGGAAACCCUGAUGCAGCGACGCCGCGUGGAGGAAGAAGGUCUUCGGAUUGUAAACUCCUGUUGUUGAGGAAGAUAAUGACGGUACUCAACAAGGAAGUGACGGCUAACUACGUGCCAGCAGCCGCGGUAAAACGUUAGGUCACAAGCGUUGUCCGGAAUUACUGGGUGUAAAGGGAGCGCAGGCGGGAAGACAAGUUGGAAGUGAAAUCUAUGGGCUCAACCCAUAAACUGCUUUCAAAACUGUUUUUUCUUGAGUAGUGCAGAGGUAGGCGGAAUUCCCGGUGUAGCGGUGGAAUGCGUAGAUAUCGGGAGGAACACCAGUGGCGAAGGCGGCCUACUGGGCACCAACUGACGCUGAGGCUCGAAAGUGUGGGUAGCAAACAGGAUUAGAUACCCUGGUAGUCCACACCGUAAACGAUGAUUACUAGGUGUUGGAGGAUUGACCCCUUCAGUGCCGCAGUUAACACAAUAAGUAAUCCACCUGGGGAGUACGACCGCAAGGUUGAAACUCAAAGGAAUUGACGGGGGCCCGCACAAGCAGUGGAGUAUGUGGUUUAAUUCGACGCAACGCGAAGAACCUUACCAAGUCUUGACAUCCUGCGACGAUGCUGGAAACAGUAUUUUCCUUCGGGACGCAGAGACAGGCGGUGCAUGGUUGUCGUCAGCUCGUGUCGUGAGAUGUUGGGUUAAGUCCCGCAACGAGCGCAACCCUUACUGUCAGUUACUACGCAAGAGGACUCUGGCAGGACUGCCGUUGACAAAACGGAGGAAGGUGGGGAUGACGUCAAAUCAUCAUGCCCUUUAUGACUUGGGCUACACACGUACUACAAUGGCGUUAAACAAAGAGAAGCAAGACCGCGAGGUGGAGCAAAACUCAGAAACAACGUCCCAGUUCGGACUGCAGGCUGCAACUCGCCUGCACGAAGUCGGAAUUGCUAGUAAUCGUGGAUCAGCAUGCCACGGUGAAUACGAUCCCGGGCCUUGUACACACCGCCCGUCA